GGACCCGCACAAGUAGUGGAGCAUGUGGUUUAAUUCGAAGAUACGCGCAGAACCUUACCAACACUUGACAUGUUCGUCGCGACUUUAAGAGAUUAAAGUUUUCGGUUCGGCCGGACGAAACACAGGUGCUGCAUGGCUGUCGUCAGCUCGUGUCGUGAGAUGUUGGUUAAGUCCCGCAACGAUGCGCAACCCUCACUUUUAGUUGCCAUCAUUAAGUUGGGCACUCUGAAAGAACUGCCAGUGAUAAGCUGGAGGAAGGUGGGGAUGACGUCAAGUCCUCGAUGGCCCUUACGUGUUGGGCUACACACGUGCUACAAUGGUAUCUACAACAGGAAGCAAAACAAGCGAUGAUUAAGCAAAAA
rnacentral:rRNA from 1 species